UUCCGCAAGGAAGUAAGAUCCCUGAAAGAUGAUCAGGUUGAUAGGUCUGAGGUGGAAGUGUGGCGACACAUGGAGCUGACAGAUACUAAUCGAUCGAGGACUUAACCAC
rnacentral:rRNA from 2 species